UCUUUUCUUUUUUUUUUUUUUCUUUUUUUUCCUUUUUUUGGUUGCUUCCAUCGCAUGUGGAAGCUCCCCAGCCAGGGAUCAAACCCCAUGUCACAGAAGUGACUCAAGCCACUGUGACAACACCAGAUCCUUAACCUGCUGUACCACAUAGGAACUCCCUACUGUAUUGUGUACUUAAAAACUUGCUAAGUUGGUAGCUGUUACAUGUUAGCACACACAAAAAAAUACUUACAAAUAAUAACUAAGAAGGCAGGAGGAAACUUUUAGAGGUGAUGGAUAUAUUAAUGGCGUAGAUUGUGGUGAUGGUUUCAUGGAGAUACACAUAUCUCCAACUCAUAAAAUGGUAUACACAAAUUAUGUACAGUUCUUUGUAUGUCAACAGUAUCUCAUCAAAGUGGGGGUUUUUUGGUCUUUUUUUUUUUUUUAGGGCCACAUCAAUGGCAUAUGGAGGUUCCCAGGCCAGGGGUCUAAUCGGAGCUGUUGCUGCCGGCCUACACCAGAGCCACAGCAACACCAGAGCCACAGCAAUGCCAGAUCUGAGCCGCGUCUGCGACCUACACCACAGCUCAUGGCAAUGCCGGAUCUCCGACCCACUGAGCGAGGCCAGGGAUCGAACCUGCAACUUCAUGGUUCCUAGUCAGAUUCGUCUCCGCUGCGCCACAACGGGAGCUCCUAAAUUGGUUUUUCUAAAAGUGUCUCUCACUCUUAGGCAUGACUCACACAGCUGUGUUCGUCUACCAUACUCUAUUGAAUUUUGGAGGAUGUGGCAGAGGAAUGUGAACAGUUCUAGAAACUCCAUGUUGUCCAGGCCAAGUAUUAGGGUGAGACAAAAAGGGUGAAAAGUUGAUGAAGUAUUACAGUCAUCUGGUAGGUGUCAGAGAGAAGACAUAGGUGGAGUGAAUUUCCUGCUUCCCAGGGUCAAUCUCUGUCUUUUUAUCUCUCUCUGUCUCUCUUUCUCUCUCAACACACACACACACACACACACACACACACACACACACAGAGUUCUGUCUUUGUGCUGCCCCCGGUUUACAGACAUUGGCAUGGCAGUGAAUUCGAGGUGAUCCUGUGGGGUCAUGGGCCUGACGCCCCACUUCCUGCAUUGAACUGUAUCAAACUCCACAAACACCAUGAGCAGCUAAUCUUCUUUGACUGCUAGGGGCUGGUCCUUGCCUGUAAUCUUAAAUUGCUUUAUCUUAUUUGAUUUUCACAAUAACUCCAGGAAGAAACUUUAUAACUGAGGAAACGGAAGCUUAUAGAGCUCAGGUAAUUUGCCUAAGGUCACACAGAGAGAAGAAAUGACAAAUCUAGCCUCUACCCUGUUUCUUUUCUUACUUACGCUACAAGGUUUCAUUUCCUUUAACCUCUUGCUGUCACACUAAAAGUGUGACACUCACCCUCUAACACUCCAUGCGGCUUCACACCUCUGCACCAACUGAGUCCAUGUGCUGAGAAACCUCCUCUCAGAUAUCUGCUGUCAAAGGCCUACCCAGGGGUCCUGGAUCUGCAGAGACUCUUCUGAGCUGCCUGCCUUGAUGUCCUGUACACGUUCCCCUCUUGCAAGUAUCAGGCUGCACACUAAUGAUGCGUUUACACACUCCUAGCUCUCUCCUGGCUGUGGGCUCCUGAGGCAGAGCCAGACUUAGUGCACCUCCUUCACUGUGUUUGGUAGACAUUCCUGUCCAGGAAAGCCUUUUGAACUAAACAUUAGUGAGUUCUCAGUAAAUGUCACUAGACAUAAUAGUGCCUGGGAAGAACAAACCAGUGUCUAAAGAAUGUAGACACUAGCAAUGGGGGUGGGGGUGGGGAAAGGUGGUUUGGAAAAUCACAAUCUUUGACUUAAUUAUUUAUGUAUAAAACUUUCCACAAAAAGUGGAUUUCGUAAUGAAUGACUUCUUCUCCUAUAAUCCCUUACCAUUAAUAUUAGGCUUAAAUAUUUAAGUUUAGCUUAUUGGGAGUCAAUAUUUAAUUUAAAAAUGUAAUUCUUAUUAGGGUUUUAAUAAAUAAUAACAUGUAAUAACUACCAAUGAUAUUUUCACAUAUAAAAACACUUGAUUUUUAACAUAAUUAAUUUUGAAAUAAAAUGUAAUUGAAAAAUUACUCUCCAAGAAACUCUACACUUUGACCAAGUUUUUGGUCUAAUCUAUCCUUUAUUCUUUUUGCAUUGCUUACAGUUCACAGCUUUCUCUCUCUCGCUUUUCCUAUUGUUUCUUCAGUAAGAUCUGUGUGAAAGAAGAUGGACUUUCUUCAGGCCUAUUAAUAAAGUGGAGGAGAUUAACACUGAUGUAAGAAAAACAAAAAAAUAGUUAUUUUUAAUCCACAGGAAGGCAUAAAAAUGUCUACAAACAAGCAUUGUGGGGUUUGAACAUUAAAUUCUAGUUUUCUGUAGCUUGUAGUUAAUUUUAUUAUAAAUUAACAGGUAUUUAAAAGGUCUAUAAUGCUAUCUGUCCUGGAUUUUGUGAUUCAGAAGAGGUUCUGGGGUUUUGAGAUGGGCGUGCGCGCGCGCGCACACACACACACACACACACACACACACAGACUCACACGUACACAUGCCCACAUUAAUAUCUCCCCCAAAACAUUUAUUAGACUCAAUGGCCAUUCAGAUAACCUCAAGUAAAGUAAGUUUAUCAUAAGACCAUGUUUCUCAAACUGAGGUAGCCACACCUCUGAGGAAUUAUAUGAGUUACUGACCUGCAGUUAUAGGAAGCAACUGGAAAAAAAAAAGUGUGGCAUAUCUCCCUAAGUUGUUAAUUUAAAUUAAUGGAUUAAGCAUUAUUUUAAUAUAACCGCCAGUAGAGAUCUCUUAGGGAGGAGAAUGCAAAUUUCUCAUGAAAUUUUAAAGAUAAAAAUAGCAAGAGACUGCAAAGAAAUGUUGAACUUGUGAUAAGCUGCUUGGGCUCUGUCCCAGACUGCUAGUGGUACACAGACUUUUCUUUCCUUUGGUUAAGUGGAAAAGUCAGAGAAGUAUAGUAUAGGAUUCACAUAGAAAUAGGGACAAUAGGUGCUCACUUGUGGAGCAGGGGGUUAAGGAUCUGGCUUUGUCACUGCAAUGGCUCAGGUUGCUGCUGGGGCAUGGGUCGGAUCCCUGGCCU
rnacentral:lncRNA from 1 species